rfam:Anolis carolinensis chromosome 5, whole genome shotgun sequence.
GACACUGGUGGUUGGCGCUCCUGGCUUCCAGGACGGGGUUCGAGUCCCUGUGGUGUC